AUCUUUGCGCUUGGGGCAAUGACGUAGCUUAUGAGGUUUUAACUGAGGCGCGUCUAUUGCUGGUUGAAAACUAUUUCCAAACCCCCUCUUAGGCUUGGGUUCAGCUCUGGCCUUCGAGAAUUUCUGGAAGGGCUCCCUUUGGGGUAAAGUC
rfam:Lupinus angustifolius cultivar Tanjil chromosome LG03, whole genome shotgun sequence.